rnacentral:lncRNA from 1 species
CCCCUGCCCUUAUCAACCAACUGCAUUUUGUUCUCACGCUCUCCAGGGACUGCAAUCCAUGCUCUCAGGGAGCUCAUAGUCCAGUGGAAAGAAGGAGACCAGUAAUUAUUAUACAGAAGGAUUUGGGCUGUAAAAUAUACAAAUACCUCGUGGCUAGGAGCUCAGAGGAGAUGCAUAUGUGAGCCAAGAUGACUUCCCAAAGGAGAGAUGCUUGAGCUGAAUUUGGAGUUUUGGUAAAUUUUGUUCUAACUAGUCACAAGCCUUUAGACAUGAUGUGAUUAUAGGGCAGUUCCUUGACUGUUUCACUCUUUGUUGUACUUUCAGGCCAGUGGGUAUGUUUUUCCCUGUGCCCAGAUUGUCCUUUCCCUCUUGGUUCUUCUACAGAACUGCACUUCCUUAAUCUCCAUGUCCUUGAACUUGGCUGUAAUAACCGUUCAAUAACCAUUUGUAUUUUUAUAAAGGGUGUGUGCUCUGUAAAUAGGCAAUGAAGCUAGUUUUACAAGAUAAGCACAAGUGUUAGUCUCAUUACAACCCCAUACUUCUAACUUUUAACAUCUCUGAUUCUAAAUCCCCUGGCCGCACAUCUCCUCUCCUUACCCCCGGGGAGAAAUUUUCUUUCAAAAUCGAAUAUGCACUUAUAUUUAUAGAAUAUAAAACAUACCCACCACGUUUUGCACAAAUGGGAAAAGAACUGCUUAGCUUUGGAGCGUGUAAGCAACAAAUUAUAACUCCUGGCAGAAGAAAUGGAUUCAGAAAGCUCAAAUUAGAAAUUAAAUGGGGAGGCCCUAGUUUCUUUGUGUGUAUGGUGGGUACCUCCAUAGGGUCCCCAGCCGGGAAUAGGUUCUCCUUAUCUAGACAAUUCUCACUGGGCUUGGAGUUUCACAUCUGUUACAAUAUUUUGGACCGACGGACAAUGGGUCACAGAGAUUCGGAGAACAGGUCGUUAGCCUACUCGUUCACUCUUACAAGCAGCUCUGCUUUCUGUGGCACUCAAAACAGCUGCUUGGGAUAGUGGUCUCCAACUUUGUUGAUCUUGUAUCCCAUGCUUAAAAAUCUUGAGUACACACUCCUAAUACGGAAAUAUUUAUUUAUAAAUUAUGCAAAUAUAUUAUUGCACUGUUACUAUGUAUGUUUUAAAAUAUGCAAAAAUUUUAAGGGAUGACAUAAAAAUUAAUGAAAGUUAUAAUAUUUCUUCCCACAUUUGAAUGGGCCAUUUUGCACAUACCUUGGUGUGUACACAACCCACUUUGUAAACCUCUGGCUUUGCAGACAGAAUCUACAUUUCUUCCAAAUCAGCUAGCUCUCACCCUCCCCACUUUCCUGGGUUAAGCAUGCUUUCCAGUGGAACACUGUAGCUGUUGAAGAAUGCAGGCCACCUCAAGGUAUUUACUUCUAAAGAAGUCCAAGAUAUAGUAAGUGGAGAAAGCAAGCAUGAAUAUGUAUGGUCUGAUUUCUUGUGUGUGAAAAUGUUUUAAGUUUGCAAAAAAUAUAUAAUCUAUUUAUAAAAAAUGUCUAAAUUGAUACAUUAAAAACUGUGAAGUUAUUUCUGAGCACUGGAAUUAAGGGUCUUGGGAGAGGAAGAGGAUUUUUAUUUUUAUCUUUCCAUACUGCUUGGGUUUUUAAUGAUUUUUUAUUUUUUAAAAAUAAUAAAUAAUUUUUAAAAUCACUAAAUACAUUGUGAUGUCAAAUAUGUUACAAAGCAUUGUCAAUGUUGAUUGUUGAAGUUGGAUGAUGG